rnacentral:rRNA from 1 species
UACGUAGGGUGCGAGCGUUAAUCGGAAUUACUGGGCGUAAAGCGUGCGCAGGCGGUUCGUUAAGUUCGAUGUGAAAGCCCCGGGCUCAACCUGGGAACUGCAUUGGAAACUGGCGAGCUUGAAUGCGGCAGAGGGGGGUGGAAUUCCGCGUGUAGCAGUGAAAUGCGUAGAGAUGCGGAGGAACACCGAUGGCGAAGGCAGCCCCCUGGGCCGACAUUGACGCUCAGGCACGAAAGCGUGGGGAGCAAACAGG